rnacentral:rRNA from 1 species
GCCUGAUCCAGCAAUGCCGCGUGUGUGAAGAAGGCCUUCGGGUUGUAAAGCACUUUUGUCCGGAAAGAAAUCCUUGGUUCUAAUACAGCCGGGGGAUGACGGUACCGGAAGAAUAAGCACCGGCUAACUACGUGCCAGCAGCCGCGGUAAUACGUAGGGUGCGAGCGUUAAUCGGAAUUACUGGGCGUAAAGCGUGCGCAGGCGGUUUGCUAAGACCGAUGUGAAAUCCCCGGGCUCAACCUGGGAACUGCAUUGGUGACUGGCAGGCUAGAGUAUGGCAGAGGGGGGUAGAAUUCCACGUGUAGCAGUGAAAUGCGUAGAGAUGUGGAGGAAUACCGAUGGCGAAGGCAGCCCCCUGGGCCAAUACUGACGCUCAUGCACGAAAGCGUGGGGAGCAAACAGGAUUAGAUACCCUGGUAGUCCACGCCCUAAACGAUGUCAACUAGUUGUUGGGGAUUCAUUUCCUUAGUAACGUAGCUAACGCGUGAAGUUGACCGCCUGGGGAGUACGGUCGCAAGAUUAAAACUCAAAGGAAUUGACGGGGACCCGCACAAGCGGUGGAUGAUGUGGAUUAAUUCGAUGCAACGCGAAAAACCUUACCUACCCUUGACAUGGUCGGAAUCCUGCUGAGAGGCGGGAGUGCUCGAAAGAGAACCGGCGCACAGGUGCUGCAUGGCUGUCGUCAGCUCGUGUCGUGAGA